rnacentral:rRNA from 1 species
GACGGGCCCCGCACAAGCAGCGGAGCGUGUGGUUUAAUUCGAUGUUACACGAAGAACCUUACCUGGGUUUGACAUGCUAGUGGUAAUGAAGCGAAAGCUAAGUGACCCGCAAGGGAGCUAGCACAGGUGCUGCAUGGCUGUCGUCAGCUCGUGUCGUGAGAUGUUCGGUUAAGUCCGCUAACGAGCGCAACCCUCGCUGUGUGUUACAAGUGUCACACAGGACCGCCGGUCUUAAGCCGGAGGAAGGUGGGGAUGACGUCAAGUCAGCAUGGCCUUUAUGUCCUGGGCUACACACACGCUACAAUGGCCAACACAAUAGGUUGCUAAGCCGCGAGGUGGAGCCAAUCCUCAAAGUUGGUCUCAGUUCAGAUUGCAGGCUGCAACCCGCCUGCAUGAAGAUGGAGUUGCUAGUAACCGCAGGUCAGCUAUACUGCGGUGAAUACGUUCCCGGGGCUU